rnacentral:lncRNA from 1 species
GCUCAUCUUGCUUCAUUUCUGAUGGCCCAGAUGCAUUAUGAGAAAAAUCAUGCUGUGCUUCUGAUUUCUCAUUCUGCUGACUCUUAUCCUUCGAAACAAACGAAGUUGACUCAAUAUAUUGAGUAACUUCUCCCUUUGAAGAAACAAGGUCAUCUCUAUUUGGUUUGUCUUCAACAACUGGAUGAGGUGGGAGACUGUUUGAAUCAGAUUGCACCACUCCUCUUCCCAAAUCAAGGAAAGCAUGUUCAGACACAGUUGUUGAGAAGUGCUUCAGUCCUUCUGCAGCUUCCAUUACAGAACUGUUAUCCCGAAUAACUGAAUUGCCAUCUGAUUCCUCACUCUGCUGACCCUUAUCCUUCGAAACAGAUGAAGUUGACUCAACAUAUUGAGUAACUUCUCCCUUUGAAGAAACAAGGUCAUCUCUAUUUGGUUUGUCUUCAACAACUGGAUGAGGUGGGAGACUGUUUGAAUCAGACUGCACCACUCCUGUUCCCAAAUCAAGGAAAGCAUGUUCAGACACAGUCGUUGAGAAGUGCUUCGGUACUUCUGCAGCUUCCAUUACAGAACUGUCAUCCCGAAUAACUGAAUUACCAUCUGGCACUU